GUGCAUUUUAGACGCUGGAAUCAUGUGUUUUAAUAAGGAAAAAAGAUGGGUAAAAUUCGAUGCUUCAGUACCUUCUGAGCUUAGACUCGUUUCGUAAUCUUUAAUCGUUUGGUAAUAGAUCUAAUCUUUUCGUACGAGACGAAUAUUUUUGUGCUGAAAUGCAAAGUACAAUUUGAUCGAAUGUUAUAUUUUAUUAGAUAUAAAUAUACAAACCUUACGCGUUCUAUGUGUGAUACAUGGGAUUUGCAACGCAGCAGCAAAAUGAGAUCUCAUGUACAACGCAUGGAGUGAUAUUGCGUUGUGCUGUUCAUCUUGGAAGAAUCUAAACUUAUCACGAUUGGGUGAAAAAGGAAAAACGAUUUCGUUCGCUUCGCAUGUAAUGCAGAAUCUCGAAAUGGGAUACAGUGCCUAGGUUAGGUCGCAUACCGUUUAAACAUCUUCAUAGGACAACCGCUACUGAGGCAGUUCCGUCAUUACUUCCGCUCACUCAAAUCUAUCUCCAAUUAUGUUCCAUGUACCACCUGAUCCACAGCUGUGUCUAUGAUCCCGAAUGAAAUGCCUUUUAACUUGCAUUGCAGCUUCAUGUCGAAUAGUACGCCAUGUUACUGUCCAAAUUGACUACAAAAACGAUUUCGUUUGUUUCGCAUCUAAUGCAAAAGCUUGAAAUGGAAUACAGUACAUAUUAAGGGAAAUCUAGGUCGCAUACUGUUUAAACUUUUUAAUCUGACAGCCUUUACUGAGCAGCCAGUUUGGGCAUUACUUCCGAAUAAGUGACGAUUCUUCAGUUCUAUUCGAUUUUUCUGGAAUCUUAUCAUUUGCGGUAUUUGAACCGUUAUAACGAUCCUUCUAAACGAUGAAUACUUAUGUCCACAAAAUUACAUAAGGUGACGGUGAUGUUAGUGAAAAUUGUUAACCCCAGUGAGAAUGAUCAGCACAGCUGUAGUGAUGUAAUAUAUACAAAAAGAGAUGUUCAAGGUAGGAUUAGUUAAGUUUACUAUUUGUGAAAUAGGAAUGCAUUCAUCUUGGUCAACAAAUUAUGAGUAAUGCGAUGGAAUUGAAUAGCUUUAUCUGAAAAAGAAUUUUUCGACAACGAAUUUAUAUGCAUACAUAACAUACAUUGAUUGAGGACAGAAAAGUUUUCAAGGCUAGAUGAGCACAAAUCUUUCUUAAAAACUCAUAACUGGAAAAUUUGUUUUGUUGGAAGAU